rnacentral:rRNA from 1 species
AAUACGACUCUCGGCAACGGAUAUCUCGGCUCUCGCAUCGAUGAAGAACGUAGCGAAAUGCGAUACUUGGUGUGAAUUGCAGAAUCCCGUGAACCAUCGAGUCUUUGAACGCAAGUUGCGCCCGAAGCCGUUAGGCUGAGGGCACGUCUGCCUGGGCGUCACGCA